rnacentral:rRNA from 1 species
GACGUAGGGCGCGAGCGUUGUCCGGAAUUAUUGGGCGUAAAGGGCUCGUAGGCGGUUCGUCACGUCGGGAGUGAAAACUCGGAGCUUGACUCCGAGCCUGCUUCCGAUACGGGCAGACUAGAGGUAGGCAGGGGAGAGCGGAACUCCUGGUGUAGCGGUGGAAUGCGCAGAUAUCAGGAAGAACACCGGUGGCGAAGGCGGCUCUCUGGGCCUUACCUGACGCUGAGGAGCGAAAGCGUGGGGAGCGAACAGG